rnacentral:lncRNA from 1 species
CUCGGGAGGCUGAGGCGGGAGAAUCACUUGAACCCGGGAGGUAGAGGUUGCAGCGAGCUGAGAUAGAGCCACUGCACUCCAGCCUGGCAAAAGAGCAAGAACCCAUCUCAAAAAAAAAAAACAAAUUUUUUUUUGUAAAAGGUUUGUUGAGCAUAAUUUCACCUAAAUUGAAUAACCAACCACACAUUUACUUUAUGAUAUAUUCCUAAAAGUAGAAUCGAUAGAUUACAGGCCUUUGUCCUAUUGAUAUCUCUCCAGAAAAGUUGUAUCCUUUUGUGAAGUUAUUAAUCCAACAAACAUUUAUCGGUAGUAUUAUUUGGUUCUAUGUUCCUAUAGUGUACAAAGAGGGGGCUCAAUCAUUAAGAGUUAUCUAUGAAAUUUUUCACAUUUACCAACAAAGGAUCUUACAAUAUCAUUACCCUACACAUUUUUAUUUAAUAUUGCCUUACAAAAACUCUACAAGAUGUCAGAAAAACAAAGACUUAUAUCUAGUUCUUUUUAUAUCAGUCAUAUUGAUUACUACCAUACUAAUUAUGAGAUGAAGACUAUGAAAUACUCAAUUUUUUGCAGUGACAGCAUUGUGUCUAGCCCUCUUACCUUUAACAAUGUGUGGGACAGGGUGUUUUACAGGAUGGCUUUCAAAAAUCUUGUCUUUAAUCAAGCAGUAGUUUUCACAUAAAUUGAUGCUUCACAUUCUCAUCCCCAAAGAUGGAAAGUUCUCCCCAUAGCUCCUUGGACUCCCUUUGCCUCUCAGGAUCCCUGUUGUUGGCUCCCUCUUGGUGUCUGCUUGGGGUUAGAAGGUGGACAAUGCUUCGAUUUAAGGCGUGGCUCAAUGCCCUGGAUCUUAACCGCUUUGUUCUGUGUUCUGUGGAAAUGCAGUCAGUGAUCCAGCAGAUGCUAAUUCUAGUAAGAGGACACCAUUGUGCUGGAUGAUAAGCGUGAGUCCUCUUAGGGUAAACAUAUCUGGCUCAGAUCACAGUGGAGCCUCCUUCAAUCAAGUCAUCUAGAAUAUUUCUCAGAAAAGCAUCCUCCUUGGGCAGUGAUGAUUGGUGAGUAACUGAACUCUGCAGAGAGGAAUCCUCAGAACAAUCACAUUUAAAACCACUGGCUGUACAACGCUGGGAAGUAAGAGAAAGCUCCGUCCCUGGCUGGCAGGGAGCCAGAUCUCCCACAGGAAUAAAUGAUAAAAUCACUGCUAGUGUUUCCAAGAAGACAACCAAGUUACAUCUUCGAUGGCCACUGGAUUAUAAAGCCCCAAGCCUGCGUUCAAAAGCUGUAAAUAUGCAUUCUCUUCCUGCCCUACCCUUCUGGGGCCUUCAGGCAAAGUUGGAAAGGAUGGGAACCAGUUAGGAAAGCAAAGGUUUGAACAGUUCUUAGCAUUGGAAAGUCCCAAGGCAAACUAUGGUAAGAUCCCUAGCGAUUUUGGGGCCUGGAUUUCUGGUAGACAGCAUGACAUCUCACUCCAUGUGAUGCUCAUUGUGGGUGGACAAACAGAGCUUUCUCCACAGCUGCUCAAGUGGGCAAACCUAUUUUUCCCUGCUCCCCUUUUCCCUUCCCCUCUCCCUUUCUCAUCUAUUUUUCUGCCAGCAGGUUUCCUUCAGCAUUCAAUCAAGGGCAAUAUGUCCUCAAUCAACAUUUUUCAUUUUUUAUGCAACACUGUCCUUUAAAGCUUUUUGCAGCUGGUUGGCAACUGAAUUGCUGCCAAUAUCCUCUGAGAGCUUCCCCCGUGGUGUGCACAUCACAGCCUUCUCAGAGCUCUCCAAGUGCCCUUGAGGCAGUUUGACGUGGAGUGUGUCUAAGUUGCUCACAAGGUUAUGUGGGCUCAAGGUGGACAACUUCCCAGGGCCCUCCCUGGUGGUGAGGAGAAACACAGGGAACUUGGUACUUACUAGAAUGUAACUGACAAAUGGAGAACAAUUCACACACAAAAAAGAGAAAUCUAAUGUUUAAUGUGGGGAACAGUAAGUCUAUCAGUAAAAUGAUAAGGAAGCAUUCUGAUGGCAAAAAAGAGCUGGGCAGGGGGUCAGGGGACCUUUAUGUUCUUGGCCCUGCACUAACUGGCUGUGUGGCCAGACUGACUCAGCCUCGUCAUUCUCAGGUCUUAAACAGUCAGCUUAUUUUUGUAAGGACAUUUUAAAAAUGGGAUUAUUAAUCUGUCUCAUGCUGCUAAUAAAGACAUACCCAAGACUGAGUAAUAUAUAAAGGAAGAGUUUUAAUGGACUCACAGUUUCACGUGGCUGGGGAGGCCUCACAAUCAUGGCAGAAGGCAAAGGAAGAGCAAAGGCACAUCUUACAUGGUAGCAGGCUAGAGAGCGUGUGCAGGGGAACUGCCCUUUAUAAAACCAUCAGAUCUUGUGAGACGUAUUUACUAUCACGAGAACAGCCUGGGAAAGACCCACCCCCAUGAUUCAAUUACCUCCCACUGGGUCACUCCAUGGCACGUGGCAAUUACAGGAGCAACAAUUCAAGAUGAGAUUUGGGUGGGGACACAGCUAAACCACAUCACAGGACAAUAUUAGACUAAUUAUCUCCACUUGCAUUUUCUACUCCAAUAUUCCAAAAGUCUCUUCCUCCUGCUUAGGAGUUGUGGUGACAGUAUAAAGAUUCCAGGAAGCAGCUGCUGUCCAAGGCAACACUGUGUGGAUCUCUGCAGUGUUUUGAGAGGAUGGAGUCCUAACUAAUGAGCUGUUUAACUUCUGUGCUUCAGAAGUGCUUCUUUGGGUACUCAAAAUUUUAAGCACUCUUAAAGUCCUCAUUUUCUACUCAACUUUUGAGCAUGAGCCCCUCUGGGAAAUCAACGCAGACAUGAGCCAGCACCAAUGCACCUGUGCAUUUUAUCUGUGAGAUGAUUACUCUGCAGGAGGGACCAUGAAUCUCCCAACUAUGCAUUUUCUAAGUGAAGAGCUUUGGGUCCAGCAAUCACCAUGGAACUCAGCGUGUUUUUCCUCACUGCGAUCUGUGAGUGUUUGCAUCAUAGCCUGACCAUUAGAAGAGGAUGGAGAAGACAGAGGAGAGGACUUGGCCACUGGGGGGGGCCUCAGACCCAGGCUAGGCCCUCAGGUGUCAAGGGAGAGAUUAAGUGGAGGUAAUCGGAUCAUGGGGGCGGUUUUCCUCAUGCUGUUCUCAUCAUAAUGAGUGAGUUCUCACAAGAUCUGAUGGUUUUAUAAGUAUUUGGUAGUUCCUCCUGCAUUCAUUCUCCUUCCUGCUGCUUUUUGUAGAAGGUUCCUUGCUCUCCCUUUGCCUUCCACCAUGAAUGUAAGUUUCCUGAGGCCUCCUCAGCCAUGCUGAACUGUAAGUCAAUUACACCUCUUUCCUUUGUAAAUUACCCAGCCUCAGGAAGUUCUUUAUAGCAGUGUGGAAAUGGACUAGUACAGUGUUCAUGGGAAAGUUGCAGUUAUUUUCUCUAGGUCUCACUAAACAUUUGAUAAAAUAGAGAUAUAAAUGUUUCUAUCUCAGAGAUUUGUUGCAGAGGUUUAGUAAAAUAAUUUUCAUCUUUACUAGGAUGUUUCAGAGGUGUCUUACACAUACUGUGGGAAAAAAGACCCUUAAAAACAAAAAACACAAAAACUUAACCCUAUUCUACCUUAAUCCAUGUUUUUUCCUGGCCCAGUAUUUUACCAUCUUUGUACGUAAGUGAAACUGAUAUGAGAGUGCUGGGAAGGGAAGAGCGUGGUCCCUUUCAGUCAUACAGAAGCGGGGACAGGGAGUGCUGGGUAGAGAAAGGGGGGUCCCUGGCUAGAGCUGCACCCGCAUAGACCUAGGUGAGGACAGGCACUCCUGCUUUUGCACCCAAAUAUUGCAUUUUCCAAGAUCACCCUGCCUUAUCACGCCCCUAUCCUGUGCGUGUAAGAACCUGAGACCCUAGCGGGCGGACACACAGGCAGCCGGAAGUCAAGAGGAUCGGAUCAGAGGAAGAAGACACAAGUGGCUGGAUGUUGAGAGGACGUUAAGGGGAGCACUCUGGCCGAAGAGCACACUGGCAGAUGCCAGCCCGCCAUCAGGCUAUUGACCAGCAGGAGGAGGCAGAGUUUGCCCAGGCCAGUCGGAAGAAAGCUGGGGCCGCCACAUAACCCAACUCCAGGGGAAAACCAUCUCCCUUCUGGCUCCGCCAUCUGCUGAGAACUACUUCCACUCAAUAAAACUUUGCACUCAUUCUCCAAGCCCACAUGUGAUCUGAUUCUUCCAGUACACCAAGGCAAGAACCCUGGACACAGAAAGUCUUCUGUCCUUGUGAGAAGGUAGAGGGUCUAACUGAGCUGGUUUACACAAGUUGCCUACAGACAGCUAAACUAAAAGAGCACUCUGUAAUACAUGCCCACUGGGGCUUCAGCUGUAAACAUUCAACCCUAGACACUGCUGUGGGGUUGGAGCCCCACAGCCUGCCCAUCUAUAUGUUCCCAGAGAGGUUUUAGCAGCAGGGCAUUGAAGACGCAAUCCACAACCCCAUUGCAUGCCCUGUGAGGGGGACAAGGGAACUUCUCCUGUCUCAAAAGCAAAGGCUUAAGAAUGAGCUGGUUUUAGGCUGGUGUCUCCUAGCCACCCCUAUUGCUGCUGGCUGCAUAAAAUUGGAAAAAAUUACUUACUCUCUGUAUUAGGGUUCUCUAGAGAGACAGGACUAAUAGGACAGAUGUAUAUAUGAAAGGAGUUUAUUAAAAAGUAUUCACUUACACAGUCACAAAGUGAAGUACUACAAUAGGCCAUCUGCAAGCUGAGGAGCAAGGAAGCCAGUCCGAGUCUCAAACCUCAGAAGUAGGGAAGCUGACAGCGCAGCCUUCAGUCUGUGGCUGAAGGCCCAAGAGCCCCUGGCAAACCACUGGUGUAAGUUCAAGAGUCCAAAAGCUGAAAAACUUGGAGUCCGAUGUUUGAGGGCAGGAAGCAUCCACCAUAGGAGAAAGAUGGAGGCUGGAAGAGUCAGCCAGUCUAGUCCUUCCACAUUCCUCUGCCUGCUUUAUCCUAGCCAUGCUGGCAGCUGAUUAGCUGGUGCCUACCUAGAUUGAGGGUGAGUCUGCCUCUUCCAGUCCACUGACUCAAAUGUUAAUCUCCUUUGGCAGCACCCUCAGAGACACACCCAGGAAGAAUACUUUGCAUCCUUCAAUCCAAUCAAGUUGACACUGAAUAUUAACCAUUACACUCUCUAAAAUACAGUUUUUCUUAUUUAUAAAAUGAAGAUAAAAUCAGUAACUGCUUUGUAAGUUCAUGUUGUGUUCCAAUGAUAAAUAUGUGUACAAUUUUUAGCAAAGUCCCUGAUAUGUUAUGAAUAAAUACUUUUUAGCCCCU